UACGGAGGGUGCAAGCGUUAUCCGGAUUCACUGGGUUUAAAGGGCGCGCAGGCGGAUUUGUAAGUCAGUGGUGAAAGGCUUAAGCUUAACUUGGGAACUGCCAUUGAUACUAUAAGUCUUGAAUGUUGUUGAGGUUUGCGGAAUGGGUCAUGUAGCGGUGAAAUGCAUAGAUAUGACCCGGAACACCUAUUGCGAAGGCAGGUCUCUGGGCCACAACUGACGCUGAGAAGCGAAAGCAUGGGGAGCGAACAGG
rnacentral:rRNA from 1 species